CCUACGGGAGGCAGCAGUGGGGAAUAUUGCACAAUGGGGGAAACCCUGAUGCAGCGACGCCGCGUGAGUGAUGAAGUAUUUCGGUAUGUAAAGCUCUAUCAGCAGGGAAGAUAAUGACGGUACCUGACUAGGACGCUCCGGCUAAAUACGUGCCAGCAGCCGCGGUAAUACGUAUGGAGCAAGCGUUCUCCGGAUUUACUGGGUGUAAAGGGUGCGCAGACGGCAGGGCCAGUCCGAUGGGAAAGUCCGGGGCUCAACCCCGGAACUGCUUUGGAAACUGUGCAGCUAGAGUGCAGGAGAGGAGAGUGGAAUUCCUAGUGUAGCGGUGAAAUGCGUAGAUAUUAGGAGGAACACCAGUGGCGAAGGCGGCUUACUGGACUGUAACUGACGUUGAGGCUCGAAAGCGUGGGGAGCAAACAGGAUUAGAUACCCGAGUAGUC
rnacentral:rRNA from 1 species